GUCGAGGUUUUUGCCAAUGUGUUGCUGUUGUAACUGAAGUCACAUCUAUCCUGAUGAAUAUUUCAUUUCCCCAAUCAUGCUAUUAAAACCAGAGUGUUUUUACCCUUUCAUUUCUGUUUUCUCUUUUCCAGUACCAUCGUGACAGCUGUGGCUGUGUCCUGUUUACAAAUUGCUGCUAGUCACAUUUUCAGUAGUCCUUGUGGGUUUUGCUUUCCCUUAAUAUGGGCAAUUAGGAGGAAAUAUUUCUCAUGAGCAUGGACUUGCUCUUCUCUUUGUAAUGACACAGUCCUGCAAUCCAGGAAACAGUGCUGCAUGGUGUCCAUGUCCACGAUUUCCUGAUGUGGGAAAAACGUGUGGAAAGCAUCUGGAGAGGAGACCCCCUUUACCAGCUUGUUUCCUGUUCUGUGACUGGCUGCCGUGUCAUCUUUUCUUUAUGCAGUCCUAUCUACCUGCACAGGCACUCAAGCAAUUGUCAGCGAAGAUGCUUCUAUUUUCAGUGGCAAAGAAAUGCAGCUUAUAGUGUCGUUUGGCCAGCCACCGUUUCUCCAGCUCACCCAGUUCCUGAGCACAUAAAGAAGCCAGACUAUGUGACGACAGGCAUUGUACCAGACUGGGGAGACGACAUAGAAAUUAAGAAUGAAGAUCAGAUUCAAGGGCUUCGUCAAGCUUGUCAAUUGGCCCGUCAUGUCCUGCUUCUGGCUGGAAAGGGCUUAAAGGUUGGCAUGACAACUGAAGAAAUAGAUUCCAUUGUUCAUCAUGAAAUAAUCAGACAGAAUGCCUAUCCGUCACCUCUGGGCUAUGGAGGUUUUCCAAAAUCUGUUUGUACUUCUGUAAACAACGUGGUAUGUCAUGGUAUUCCUGACAGUCGACCUCUUCAGGAUGGAGAUAUUAUCAACAUUGAUGUCACGGCGUAUUACAAUGGCUACCAUGGUGACACUUCUGAAACCUUUUUGGUGGGCAAUGUGGAUAAGUCUGGUCAAAAGUUAGUGGAGGUUGCCAGGAAAUGUAGAGAUGAAGCAAUUGCAGCUUGCAGACCAGGGGCUCCCUUCUCUGUAAUUGGAAACACAAUCAGCUGCAUAGCAGAGCGGGGCGGCUUCCAGGUCUGCCCCUCCUUCAUCGGCCACGGCAUUGGGUCGUACUUCCACGGGCACCCCGAGGUGUGGCACCACGCCAAUGACAGUGAUUUGUUAAUGGAAGAAGGAAUGGCGUUCACAAUAGAGCCUAUAAUAAUGGAAGGAUCCCCGGAAUUUCAGAUUCUGAAGGAUAAAUGGACUGCAGUUUCUGUAGACAAAAAAAGAUCAGCGCAGUUUGAACACACCAUUGUGAUUACCUCAGAGGGAGCAGAAGUCCUCUCUAAACUGGCGGAAGAAGCCUAAAGAUGGACCAAGGAGUGGAGGGACUCGCUGUGCUUCUGGUAUUUCCAGUUUCACUUGGGACAGAGAGGAGGUUUCUGUAAUGUCUGUGGGAAUUGGUGCUGCGUAAGUCGCUGCAGGGGACAGAAAAAGCAGCUUGAGGGGUCACCUCUGAACAUAGUCCUUUCUGUGUGUUGCCUGGACCCCCCCAGAACACGGCGAACACCACGGGGCAACCGCUCAGCUCCAUCCUCCCCGAGAGGAGCUUGGAAGGCCUUAAAACCUGUAAAAGCAAACGAUGGAGCCAACAAGUUUAUAAAGACACAGAGGUUCAACAGCGCGCUGCGGCCACGAUAGGCGAGGAACACCCAGCACUGCCCGGGGAGGGGAUAUAUUUUGUUUCCUGAAGCCCUUCCGCUCUGCGUGCCCCCCUGCUCCGGGGGGCCCUGGGGGCAGCCGGGGUCCCGCGCUCCCCAAGGACACACCAGAGGCGCGUCCCGGGGGGUUGGGCCGCGCCGGGAGCCCCUGGAUGGCACCACAGGUGCUAAGCGAGAAUGACGGGAGCAGGGAACGGCUGCUCCCGGUCCUCUGCCCCGCUGCCUCCCGUCCCGCGCUCAGCGCGGUGUGGAGUGAGACGGGCAUGGGGCAGCCUGAAGCAGGGAAAUCCCUACAUAUACCUCUGAAGACCGGUGUAAGAGAGCUGCUGGCAGCUACCGGUAGUCGCUGUUUGCUCUGAAGUCCGCCCGGUAACUCUGACGGGACUGUGGGGUUUAUCCGUCGCCGUGGAGCAGUGGCGGUCAAGCGCUGGCCUUGAUAGCGCACGUUUGUAAUCCUAAUUAUGAAGGAGACGGAAGACAUGCCUCGGCUGUGAGGGGACAGCCAACGCCUCGCACAGCCCUUCACGCAGCACUUCUUGCCCGGCGAGCACGAUGAGAGCCCCGACGGGGCGAUCGCCCCCGACGGACCAGGGCGUCCCGGGGCCGCGGACCCUCCGCGCCCGCCGAAGCCGCACUGCCCGGGGACGGCGUCGCUCGGGCGGGUGUGAGCAGAGCCGUGCCAUGCGGUCCACCGUGUUUUGGCACGGCUGGCGGUUCUGAGGUUCGCCCCGGGCCAGGCCGAUCAGAGGAAGUGGCCCCACAGCCGGCAAGCACGGAGCAGCCUCCGCGCCCCUCCCCGCGGCCGCCGGGCUGGAGGCCAACCAAGGUGCCGGAGCUCCCGGGGCUCCCCGUCCCGAGCCGCCUCGGGUGGUCACUUACAUUGCCAGGGGGGCAGAACCGGCUGCCGGGGGAGUCCGUGUCGGCGGGGUCGCGCCGCUGCUGCCCCUUCCCGCGCCGAGCCGCGACGAGUUCGUGAAAAUUAACUUUGCGCAUCGCGAGCAAAACAAAACACACACGCACACACACAGAGAGGAGGGAAGAGGAAGUAAAAGAGGCGUUAGGAAAUGGGCAAUUAAAACCGACAGAGCCACUAAUGAAAAAACGGGGGGGGGGGGGG